GGAAAAUGAACAUGUAAUGUGUCAUCUUUGACACUUGCAAGCAGACCGCAUUUCAAUCACAUUCAAUACACACCCAAGACUAACUGAAGUUACCAUUCUCAGCAUUCCAUUUCCUUAAAAUCUGUCAAAAUGACAUUUGGCACAGGACCAAUGUUUCCACUGUGUUCUAGCAUGCUACCUGGUCCUUAAAUCAUUUUACCUGUUAAGAUGACUAAUGCAUUUAUUCUAGCAAUGUAAGAGAUUUGUGAGCACUACUUUAGUCUUCUGGGGCAACAAGUUAUGACAGAAGAGAAGCUGCAUGUAUUAAAAUAUAGUUGACAAAUGGCCUACCAAAAGGAAGUAAGCAGAAACUUUUCUAAAUUAGGGGUGAACAUAGCCAUUAAGCUCAGUAAUGGUGGAUCAAAUUGAGCAAGUAGCCCACUUUAAAUGAAUUUGACAGAGUCAGACAACCAUGAGACGUUUCACCACAAAAACAGAAUUGAUGGUUACAUGCCACAGUAGCCCAUCUCCAGGGUACAAGCUUUCUCAGGUUUUUGUAAAACAGGAUUUGAUGUUUACAUGUCAACACAAAAUAAAUACUUUAGUAUCCCGAACGGGAUAUUGAUGGUCAGUGGCUUUAACGUAGAGCCAAUCUUGGGAUUUGUCAACCAGCAGCAAAGAAAAUAAAUUAUAUAUUUCAAAUCCAAAAGAAUAGGAACAUUCCCUUUUACUACAAAUUGCACUGGCAACCAACACGGUUCUCAACCAGCUAGCCAAAGGUAGACAUUAAACACACAGUAUUUCAAAACACAAGGAGGCACUUAAAGUACAAUAUUUUAUUGUUUUACAAGUAAUGCAGGGUAGCAUGAGCAGCAGCAUCUCCCUGGCCGACGCAAAAGCAUACAGUGGAAGCUUAAAGAAAGUGUCAGCAACAACUUGGAUUUGUCAUCUAAAGGAUGAAUCUACCAUUGCAAUUCUGUUGAUAGAUGAUUAGUACAAAUGAUUUCUAAAUCAGAACGCAAAGUGCAGGUGAGUGUAAAAGUUGCACAUUACAUCCCAGUAGACUUCCCUUGUGGCAGGGCACCUUUAGCAGGUUGUGAGUUUUUAGCAGGUGGGGAUAUGCUUGGUUCAGAGAUGCCAACGUCCUUGAGAGUAUCUCCGCUAUCAAAAUGGUAUAACCUCCCCAGUGGUGUGGCAGGUUUGGGAGUAGACAGUCUUGCCAUUCUCAUACACAGAUUUGUAAAUAUAUUGGGAUGAGAACUGACUAUUCAACGAUGCUGCCUUGAACGCUGAUGGAGCUGAGACAUUGGGUACUUUCAUUGGCCCCAUCAGACCCAAAAUCCUGAGAAACACCACUGCUGCUAAAAUCCAUGUUGCUUGAGGAGUUGGCCCUCCUGUUCGAGGCCUGUGGCUUCCGCCGAGGCAAGGGCGCCUGUGGCUUCCGCCGAGGCAAGGGCGCCUGUGGCUUCCGCCGAGGCAAGGGCGCCUGUGGCUUCCGCCGAGGCAAGGGCGCCUGUGGCUUCCGCCGAGGCAAGGGCUCCUGUGGCUUCCGCCGAGGCAUUUGAACCAGAUUUGAUGAGGUACCGACUUGAUGAGGUACUGUGGCCGGUUUCUUCACCUAAGGUAUUUGGGACAGUCGUUACGCUUGAUGAAGCAUUAUGGAUGGCCGCUUCCGAGGCAUUAUGGCCAGUUGCUUCCGCUGUCGAGGCACUGUGUCCAGCUUCUUCACGUAAGGCAUUUGGGCCAGUCGUGGCACUUGCUGAGGUAUUAUGGGUUGCUGCUUCUGCUGAGGCACUUGGGUCGGAUAUGUCACCCAAGGUAUUUAGGCCAGUCGUGACGCUUGAUGAAGCAUUGUGGGUGGCCGCUUCCGAGGCAUUAUGGGUGGCCACUGGCAUGGCACUGUGCCCAGUUGCUUCCACUACCGAGGCACCAUGGCCAGUUGCUUCACCUAAGGUAUUUGGGCCAGUCGUGACGCUUGAUGAAGCAUUGUGGCCAGUUGCUUCACCUAAGGUAUUUGUGCCAGUCUUGACGCUUGCUGAGGCAUUGUGGGUGACUGCUUCUGAGGCACGGGAUCCGGUUGCUCCACCUAAGGUAUUUGGGCCAGUCGUGACGCUUGCAGUGGCAUUACGGGUGGCUGCUUCACCUGCCGAGACAC
ensembl:lncRNA